UGGGAGGCCAUCAGGGGUAUGAACCCCUCCUCGGCGCCGGGCCCUGACGGUCUUCCGGUCAUCUUCUUCCAGACCUUCUGGAACGUGAUUAAGCCUGAGAUCAUGGCCAUCUUCGAGGAAUUCUUCGUGGGCUCGAUUGACCUUGGCCGCCUCAACUUUGGGACCAUCUCCCUCAUUCCCAAGGUCCCUGGGGCGACGGACAUCCGCCAGUUCCGCCCGAUUACGGUCAUCAACGUGAUCUUCCGGAUCCUGGCCAAGGGGUACGCCAAUAGGGUGACCCUGCUUGCUGACCGGAUCACUCACCCUAACCAAUCUGCGUUCAUUAAGGGCCAGUACAUCCUAGAUGGUGUCCUGGUCCUGCACGAGGUCCUUCAUGAAGUCCGGGUCAAACACCUGAAGGCGGUCUUUCUGAAAAUCGAUUUUCACAAGGCCUAUGACACGGUUAGCUGGUCCUUCCUUAGGGAAGUUCUUCUGCGAAAGGGCUUUGACGACCGGUGGAUCACGAGAGUCAUGCAAAUGGUCUCUUGCGGUCGCACGGCGGUCAACAUUAACGGCGAGAUCGGCCCCUUCUUCCCUACCCUUUGUGGGGUGCGCCAAGGCGACCCCUUCUCCCUGUUCCUCUUCAAUAUGGUCGUGGACGCUUUGGCCUCCAUUCUAGACAAGGCAAAAGCCGCGGGCCACCUCCGUGGUAUUACCCCCCAUCUCUCCAGGGGCGCGGGGAUCUCCAUCCUCCAAUAUGCCGAUGACAUGAUCAUCAUGGUUGAAGGCUCGGAGCUGGAUAUCACCAACCUAAAGUUCCUCCUUCUUUGCUUCCAACAGAUGUCGGGCCUCAAGAUCAACUUUGAUAAGAGCGAUGUUAUGGUGAUGGGAUACUCUCCCGCUGAGUCAGUGGCCAUCGCCAAUAGACUUAAUUGCCGCCUGGGCUCGUUCCCCACUACCUACCUUGGGACGCCCAUCAGUGACUCGCGCCUCUUGGCCGCCGAUCUUCGCCCCUCCGUGACCAAGCUCCAGACUAGAUGCGAGCCCUGGCAGGGGAGGUGGCUCUCCAAGGCGGCCCGGACUAUUCUUAUC
rnacentral:rRNA from 1 species